rnacentral:rRNA from 1 species
GACAGAGGGUGCAAACGUUGUUCGGAAUUACUGGGCUUAAAGAGUUCGUAGGCGGCGCAGCAAGUAGGGUGUGAAAGCCCUCGGCUCAACCGAGGAAUUGCGCUCUAAACUACUGUGCUUGAGGAAUCUAGAGGUGAGCGGAACUGAUGGUGGAGCGGUGAAAUGCGUUGAUAUCAUCAGGAACACCGGAGGCGAAGGCGGCUCACUGGGGAUUUUCUGACGCUGAGGAACGAAAGCCAGGGGAGCGAACGGG